ensembl:lincRNA
UUGCUCUCUUUGUCAAGUUCUGCUACUGGGCACUCUCAUUGGGCCCUGACUACCUACCGACUGCCAUGCCUGAGGAGACCCUAGAAGACACCGUGUUGCCAAUGCAGAACCAGAGGAACAGGGGAACGCUGGCUCCUAACCAUGUGCAGGAGGUGCGUCUGCACCGAGUGGAGUCCAUCAGUGACCUACACAGCGGAGGCUCCCUACGACCCUGUCUGGUGGAGGAGGCACAGGCAUGGGAGGAGCUUCUGGGUGUCUUACCACCAUCGCUGUGCACCCACGCUGGCUGCAGCCCUGUGUGUGGCCGUGGGGGCUUCCUUCUGCUGCUGGUACUGCUGGUGUUCACCUGCCUGGCGCUGGCCACCGUGG